UACGAAGGGGGCUAGCGUUGUUCGGAUUUACUGGGCGUAAAGCGCACGUAGGCGGUUUGUUAAGUCAGAGGUGAAAUCCCGGAGCUCAACUCCGGAACUGCCUUUGAUACUGGCAAGCUAGAGUCCGGAAGAGGUAAGUGGAACUCCUAGUGUAGAGGUGGAAUUCGUAGAUAUUAGGAAGAACACCAGUGGCGAAGGCGGCCCCCUGGGCCGGCCCUGACACUGAGACGCGAAGGCGUGGGGGAGCGAACGGG
rnacentral:rRNA from 1 species